ACUUAUCAAUCUAGAAUCGCACUAGGUUGUGGCGUCUUCUACCAUUAUACCAAGGUUCGUUAACCACGUGAUUAACGGGUUGAGGUCAUCCGCUCCAAACUUGGUGUCCUCUUGUCGAUCCUGAAUCUAAUCUUUUACGGGUUUCGUCACAAGGUUGGCGACGUUCGUAUCACCGUUGGAGAAAAAUUUUCACCUUUUCUUCAUUAUUUGCGCAUGAGUUUUCAUUUGACUGCGUAGAUUGCAGUUAUAUAUUUCUCCCCUUCAUUUUGAACAAGAAAUGGCAAACACUGCUUCAGCAGUGGAAUCCUAGGUGAAGCAACACAGUGUAAUAGAGCAGCAAGCAUCUGAGGAACUUUGCCGACAAAUCGGGCAUGCGUGGAAGCUCAUGAACCAACAAACUCCUUGACCCCAGUACUCCUUCCUGGAUCUGCUGCAGCUGAAAUUUUCCUCCCAAGGCUGUCCUCCUUCUAGGUGUCAACUUGGGAUCCGUGAUAGAUGUUGAUGAAUAUACACGUGGGAGAAUUCAUGCGAAGUUACGUCAAUUCAAUAUUCCAAUCUUGUAACCCCCCAAGGCUGUCCUCCAUUGAGUGGUCAAUCUGGCAUGUUUGAUGGAUGCUGACGAACAUAUAUAUGUGGGAGAAUUCACGCGAAGUUACAUCAAUUUAAUGUUCAUUGAGCCCAACCUCGGACAAGUAAUAUAACAAGUAAUAAAUCAAUAAUUGAUUGUAAGGAAAAAAAAAUGGUACUCAAAGCCUAAUCGUUAGUGAAUAAUCUCUUUUGGAAAAGAAAAGAGGUGUUAAUGGAAUUGAUAGAUGUCGUGCAUGUGUAAUAAUAAAUUACUACUCUUAGAGAUGUAAAUAAGUAUAAUGGCAAAUGGGUACGUCUCCGCAGGGAUUUGGAGGAGAA